UGGGCAGAGAGGUGACAGUGACUGUGCAACCCCUGAGGCAUGAGUGUUUCUGUGAUGUGAUGCUGUCACCCACAUGCAGGCCUGAGGAACCAAGGAGAGCCCUUGACAGCGGGCAGGAAGAGGAGGAGAAAGAAGUCUGAAUAGACAUCAGCUAGCAUGAAGAAAUCCCACAAAAACACAGUAUCAGAUAGCAUCAACUCAUGGAGAGUUUGAGUUUCAAAUCCACUCCUAGUUGCAAGGGCAGGAUCCACAGCCUGUUUAUCCGAGACUGCUCUGCACUUCCUGCUCAGAUUUGAGAGUUAGUUAUGUGGCCUGGAAACUUCUUUCUCUAAGCUAAACUCCUUUGGCAUGUGAUUUGCAUCCAGACAAGAGCUGAGCAGCUUAAAGUCCCAGGAACUCCUUCAGGGGCGCUUGGAUCUUAUUAGUGUCAUUGUGUCUGGAACAGGCUAACGCCUUUCCCAAGCACCCAGGGUACCCCAGGGAGUCUGAAUUUUCUCUGGAAAUGACCCCUUCAUUCUUUCCCAGCUUGAUCUUCAGUAGUCCCAGGGUGGCCGUGAGAGGGUAUUUGCUCCUCUCCUUCACUGGAAUUUCUCCUCCCGCUCACCAGAAAGAAGAAUGAGGAAGUGUACAUGACAGAUUCUCUGGGUCUGGCUUAUUUGUUCAAGGAACACAUUUGGG
rnacentral:lncRNA from 1 species